GUUGUCCGGAUUUACUGGGCGUUAAGGGCGUGCAGGCGGUUUGUUAAGUGCAGAGUGAAAGCUCCCGGCUCAACUGGGAGAGGUCUUUGCAUACUGGCAAACUCGAGGGAGGCAGAGGAAAGUGGAAUUCCCGGUGUAGUGGUGAUAUGCGUAGAUAUCGGGAGGAACACCUGUGGCGAAGGCGGCUUUCUGGGCCUUACCUGACGCUGAGACGCGAAAGCGUGGGGAGCGAACCGG
rnacentral:rRNA from 1 species